AGCAAUUCUCCUACCUCAGCCUCCCAAGUAGCUGGGAUUACAGAAUUUCCAGAUACUUUGGUUAAGUCAGUGCCCCAAGAAAGACUGGAAGUGGUAGAUGCAGCUAUAAGAUGAAGGAACCUGAACAAUCCAUGAACAGGAGGAGUUUGAGGUUGAGAAGGAUUUUGAGGCCAGCUUCAAUUUUGAGUUCAGUCAAAGUGUUCUGGGACCAGUACAUCAUGCUGAACUUUGGAGUUUACCAUAUUUGAUAGACUGAACUUAUGUGGACAUUUUUCCUAUUGCAAAUACAUAAAAAUGUUUAAUGUAAAGAGUGUCAAGAAAACACUUGAAAGUAUAUAUUCAAGCAAGCAAGAAAGGGAAAGUUGUGGUUUUCACAAACAAAAAGAAAACUGCAACUUAGAAAGGAGAGCUACAGUUGAUGCUGAGGUGUGCUGUGGGCUUAGGUCUCAGGAGCUGUGCGCUGGGAGUUUAAUGCUUAAUCAUGACAAGGCAUGGCUUGAGGGCUGGAACUCAGUCCUUCAAUUCAAGAUACUCAAAGGGCUACCGGUCUUUGUAAAGGAACUACACAAACAAAUAUCUUUGGGUCAGACCAAAACCUUGAAUUUAAUAGAAGCAAAGAUAAAAAUGUAUCUGAGGAGACCUUUCCACAACUAAGGGUACAUGGGACUCCUACUGAAAAACACCUUUUGCUGAAGAUGAGCUAAAAUAAAUUGCAAACUACAUGAGGGACAAGCCCACCGUGGUGCAGAGUCAGCAGAUGCAAUAAAUGGGAACACGGUAACCAAGACUGUGAGAAAACAGAACGAUCCAAAAGAGACAUAAAAUAGAAAUGCUGAAAAUGAAUAGAAAUAAAUGAUAGAAAU